rnacentral:lncRNA from 1 species
AAGGACGCUGCUGGAGACGGGGAGGUCUAUGAUCACCACCCUGAUUGGGUGGAGAAGCUGAUUCUGUGCCAGGCCCUGACCUUUGUCCUGCUGCUGGUCGCUCCCGUCUGCCAGUCCUCCCCAUCCUCCCCGCCAAACGCCUCUUGGGUUUCCGCGUGGGGUCCUUCAUCGGGGCGUCCAACACGUGCCCGGCGGCAGCUGCACUUCAGAAACGAGUGGGCGCCAUGGAGCGGGUGGUCUGUCUGCUCACGCAGCUGUGGGGG